rnacentral:rRNA from 1 species
UACGGAGGGUGCAAGCGUUGUCCGGAUUUAUUGGGUUUAAAGGGUGCGUAGGCGGCCCGUUAAGUCAGUGGUGAAAGCCUCCAGCUCAACUGGAGAACUGCCAUCGAUACUGGCGGGCUUGAGUACAGACGAGGUUGGCGGAAUUGAUUGUGUAGCGGUGAAAUGCAUAGAUACAAUCAAGAACACCGAUUGCGUAGGCAGCUAACUAGGCUGUAACUGACGCUGAGGCACGAAAGCGUGGGGAGCGAACAGG